AUUGAACGCUGGCGGCAUGCUUUACACAUGCAAGUCGAACGGCAGCGGGGUAGUGCUUGCACUACUGCCGGCGAGUGGCGAACGGGUGAGUAAUAUAUCGGAACGUACCGAGUAAUGGGGGAUAACCAAUCGAAAGAUUGGCUAAUACCGCAUACGUCCUGAGGGAGAAAGCGGGGGAUCGCAAGACCUCGCGUUAUUCGAGCGGCCGAUAACUGAUUAGCUAGUUGGUGGGGUAAAGGCCUACCAAGGCGACGAUCAGUAGCGGGUCUGAGAGGACGAUCCGCCACACUGGGACUGAGGCACGGCCCAGACUCCUACGGGAGGCAGCAGUGGGGAAUUUUGGACAAUGGGGGCAACCCUGAUCCAGCCAUGCCGCGUGUAUGAAGAAGGCCUUCGGGUUGUAAAGUACUUUUGUUAGGGAAGAAAAGGGAAGUGCUAAUACCACUUUUUGCUGACGGUACCUAAAGAAUAAGCACCGGCUAACUACGUG
rnacentral:rRNA from 1 species